AAAGGAAUUGACGGGGGCCCGCACAAGCGGAGGAGCAUGUGGCUUAAUUCGAUGCAACGCGAAGAACCUUACCAGGGCUUGACAUGCAGCUGCACAUCCGCCGAAAAGUGGAUUCCUUCGAGGGUGCUGCACAGGUGCUGCAUGGCUGUCGUCAGUUCGUGCCGUGAGGUGUUGGGUUAAGUCCCGCAACGAACGCAACCCCUGUGGCUAGUUGCUCACCAUGGUGAUGAAUCAUGGCGCACUCUAGUCAGACUGCCCGUGAUAAGCGGGAGGAAGGUGGGGAUGACGUCAAGUCAGUAUGGCCCUUACGCCCUGGGCUGCACACGUGCUACAAUGGUCGGUACAGAGGGAAGCGAAACCGCGAGGCGAAGCCAAUCCCAGAAAACCGGCCCCAGUUCGGAUUGAAGUCUGAAACUCGACUUCAUGAAGUUGGAUUCGCUAGUAAUGGCGCAUCAGCUACGGCGCCGUGAAUACGUUCCCGGGCCUUGUACACACCGCCCGU
rnacentral:rRNA from 1 species